AGCUCAAGUCUCAGAAUGGCACGCACCAGGAAACACCGAUCGCAGACGAGCCCCCAAGUGAAAGAUCCCCGAAGAGAGACCCUUACUCAAGUCUUGGGAAAUCGCGGACCCCAGACACAGGAGACC
rnacentral:pre_miRNA from 14 species